CCCUACGGGGCGCAGCAGGCGCGAAAACUUUACAAUGCGGGAAACCGUGAUAAGGGAACUCCGAGUGCCCGUAAAAUCGGGCUGUCCAUCUGUGUAAAUAACAGGUGAAGAAAGGGCCGGGCAAGACCGGUGCCAGCCGCCGCGGUAAUACCGGCGGCUCGAGUGGUGGCCACUAUUACUGGGCUUAAAGCGUUCGUAGCUGGUCUGUUAAGUCUCUGGGGAAAUCUACUGGCUUAACCAAUAGGCGUCUCAGGGAUACUGGCAGACUAGGGACCGGGAGAGGUGAGAGGUACUCCAGGGGUAGGAGUGAAAUCCUGUAAUCC
rnacentral:rRNA from 1 species